rnacentral:rRNA from 1 species
UUUGACCUCAAAUCAGGUAGGACUACCCGCUGAACUUAAGCAUU